AUAUUUUUUUUCCAUAAUUGCGUUGACUGUUAUGAUAUCUUUCUACUGACAAAUUUUCAGAUGCUGAUUUGAGAUAAUUUUUGACAAAAACAUGUUUAUAUUUUUACCUAAAACGAAACGUUGCGCGGAGCGAUUGCAUGAACCGUCGAAUGCGGAUUCGUCGGUUCAUGAAACCAACCCUCCUUAAAUUCUAGCAGACGAUGAACCGUCGAAUCUGUAGCAUCGUCUGAACGGGAUGUAAAAAUUGCAAUAGAUAGUUGGAAGUUUCUCGCAGAAAUCCUGGCAUGACCUUUGGCUUUAUUCUCGUGAAGAGUGCUGUGUGAUCUGAAUACAUGGUUGCACUAUGCAGUGAAAGGCAUUCAGCAGUUGGGAUUAUGGUAGAUUGACUGCAAAAUGUGAGGAAGCAAUCUAUUGAAUACUGAAAACCCAAAGUGACUACUACUUCUCCAGCAGCAAGGGCUAUAUAAUCUAAAGAUUUCACAGUUGGUGGAGAUGUCCUGAACUUGCUUUGUGCUGCAAUCUCUUGUACAUGUACCACCAGAUUCCAGGAAUGUGAUAACUCAACUUUACUUUCAUCAUAGAGGUGUUGUGUCUAGUGAAUAAGUCAUCCGACUGCAGAUCACAAGGUACAGGGUUCAAGUCCUGCUGCAGCACUAAUGUCCUUUGGCGAGACGUUAAUCUACAUUUGUCACUCUCCACCCAGGUGUUAAAUGGGUACCCGGUAGGAUGCAAAAGUUAAUGUAGUUGGAUGAGCAAGUGUGCGUUUGUAAAAUGGGGACUGGGCGGAAUGCUCCCCAGGGAGUGAAGAACAUGCUUGUGUGCGGGCAAGCCUAAAUCUGAUGACUGGGUAAUGAUAUAUAUAUAUAUCUGUAAAGCGCUUAGACACAUCGUUGUAUUGAUGUAUCAUGCGCUAUAUAAAAGCAGAAUAUUAUUAUUAUUACACCUGUAAGAACAUCAAGAUUUCAAGGUUAAGAAUUUCAUAAUUAUAAAAAGCAAGGUGAUGAAUGAGAAAUAUAAAUGAUUCAGCCUAAUUUAAUUGUCAAUAAAUUGAUGCAAAUGAAUGUAAAACCUUUCAUGAUUCUAUGGUUACACUGAUGGAGCAUGCUUGCAUGUUGUAAUUAUGAAUCAUAUUAAAGUUAUUUUGAUUAUCUUUUGCCAAUUGCCCACUUUUGUAAAAUAGAAUAUUUCAAGCUAUCACAUCUGGUUAAAGCUACAAUAGCUGACAGUUGGGAAAGCAUGUUCAAUUUGUUUUGGUGUCAAUGGGUGCCGGCUUAAUGUGCAUAUGUAUAGUGUUGGGUUCAUGAUCAUACAUCAUGUUGAGCUCUUACUGUGUCGAACAUUACCUCUUUAAGUGGUUAUUUUAGGUGUUGAAGAUCAGUACAAGUUCAAGGCAAAGUUACCAUAAGCGCAUUACAAAUUUAGUACAUUGACAAGGGGCAUUUAAUAACAAUUAAUGAACUGGCAGCAUUGUAUUAGAGAGUUUUUUGAAAUUGUGACACUGUGUCUAAAACUUUUGAUGAAGGAAUAACCCACUGUAAAUACAAAUAAUUUCAAAAACAUAUCUUCACUGAAAAUAUAUGUGAGAAUAUAGUGUUACAUGGUUUUGUGAAAACCAUUGUUCUUGUGCAUUACCUAUAUGACAAUGUGAGGUAUAGUAUACCAGGUCAGCAGCUGAUUGUGAAAUCAUGAACAUUGUUACCAGUUCACUUUAAUGCAGAUCUUUAUUUGACCUUUACUCAAAUCGUUUCGGAACUCAUGAUAAUAUUAUGUAGCUUGUGCUGAAUUCAUGAUAUAGCCCAAGAAAAUAAGUACACUGAAUGGCACAUGAUUUGAAUUGAUUUUUUUUUAUUCAUCAAAUAUGUGUAACACUCGAAAAUUGUCCUGUUAUUUCACCUAAAUAUAUAGGAUUAUGAUGUGUUUUAGAUUAGGUCACACUACAAUCGUCAGUGGUAUCAAUGCCACAGUUGUCAUUACUCAAAGAGUUCUAAUUUGUGAUAAUUGAUUAUUAAAUAAUUGUCAAGUGUGUUUAAGAUCGAUGUCAAAUAAAUUUUGGAUGUGAAAAUAUAA
rnacentral:lncRNA from 1 species